AUCUGAUGUUGAGGACAUCUACCAAUUAACUUAUUAAAUCGAUCCCAAUACUCGUAUAAAGACUCCCCUGAUAUUUGUUUGAUGCCACAAAUCUCUUUUCUCAAAUU